rnacentral:tRNA from 1 species
GUCGUUGUGGCCGAGUGGUUAAGGCGCUGGACUAGAAACCCAUUGGGGUCUACCCACGUAGGUUCAAAUCCUGCCAACAACG